rnacentral:rRNA from 1 species
GACGAACGCUGGCGGCGUGCUUAACACAUGCAAGUCGAACGGAAAGGCCCUGCUUUUGUGGGGUGCUCGAGUGGCGAACGGGUGAGUAACACGUGAGUAACCUGCCAUUGACUUUGGGAUAACUUCAGGAAACUGGGGCUAAUACCGGAUAGGAGCUCCUGCUGCAUGGUGGGGGUUGGAAAGUUUCGGCGGUUGGGGAUGGACUCGCGGCUUAUCAGCUUGUUGGUGUGGUAGUGGCUUACCAAGGCUUUGACGGGUAGCCGGCCUGCGAGGGUGACCGGCCAAAUUGGGACGGGGAUACGGCCCAGACUCCUACGGUAGGCAGCAGUGGGGAAUAGUGCACAAUGGGCGGAAGCCUGAUGCAGCAACGCCGCGUGCGGGAUGACGGCCUUCGGGUUGUAAACCGCAGUCGCCUGUGACGAAGCGUGAGUGACGGUAAUGGGUAAAGAAGCACCGGCUAACUACGUG